AUUGAACGCUGGCGGCAGGCCUAACACAUGCAAGUCGAGCGGAGCGGCGGACGGGUGAGUAAUGCCUAGGAAUAUGCCUGGUAGCGGGGGAUAACGUCCGGAAACGGGCGCUAAUACCGCAUACUAUCAGAUGAGCCUAGGUCGGUUUAGCUAGUUGGAGGGGUAAAGGCCUACAAAGGCGACGAUCCGUAACUGGUUUGAGAGGAUGAUCAGUCACACUGGAACUGAGACACGGUCCAGACUCCUACGGGAGGCAGCAAUGGGGAAUAUUGGACAAUGGGCGAAAGCCUGAUCCAGCCAUUCCGCGUGUGUGACGAAGGUCUUCGGAUUGUAAAGCACUUUAAGUUGGGAGGCGUUACCAACAGAAUAAGCACCGGCUAACUUCGUGCCAGCAGCCGCGGUAAUUC
rnacentral:rRNA from 1 species